AAAUAUAUGUGUAUUUGAACUUGGCAGACAGUUUAGUGAAGACCCACAGACUCAUCCCUGGCUUCCAGAUAAUAAUUCUGAACUAGAGUUGGCUGAGGAGUUUUCUGCCUCUGAUUUAGUUUCCUGGAGCAAGGGAAAGGCUCCUGUAAGGGCCAGGGAGACAGAGGUGGGGAGCUCUGAAGCCUGGAAACAGUGAGGCCUUUUGAGGUGUGGCGUCUGCCUGAGCACACCAUCAGGGGUGUGUAAGCAGAAGAUGGAGGCCCCUGGUUGAAAUAAAAGGAAGGGUUGAUCCAAACAGCAGCUGACCUUUCCUGGGCCCCUCUUGCUGCCUCUGUCCUUGUCUUUCUGUCCCUGACCCUGUGGGACUAGCGUCUCAGGGAAUCCCCCGGCAGUGGUGACCAACCCCCGCCCCUUGAAGCGGCUGGUGAAGAAAGACCACCGACUAGACCCCGCCAGAGGGCCUGGUGCCGCCCCACUCCUCUCUGGCAGCUGAGGCCUCCUGCUAAAAACAGCGGGGCCCGAGGGGAAUAUGGGCUUUCAGGCCUCCCCCUCCACGUCCCAGCAGGUAUUAAAAGAGGCCGAAGAGGACCAGGCGGCCUGGACACUAUGCUAUUCACCGAGACUGCCCACUUGGUGGUGAAUUUUCUUCUGUCCUGGUGAAGGGGUCCAGAGGAGGGUGCCGGCGAGAUAAAGGCCCCGGGUCUGGCAGCUUGGGGGGAGGAGGAGCGCAGGUCCUUGGGAAGAUCCUGAGAGGGGCCUCCAAUCUCCCUUCUCCCCAGCAUGGGCCAGGAGUGAUCCCGACCCUCGCCCCGACGCGUCUGAUCCGAGGCGGCCGCCUCCUCCCAGCGUGCCGCGCCUCCUGGGGUGACCGCUGCCCUGUCUCCCCUACGGGCGCCCCAAGGCCACGCCCCCUUACUGCCUGGACUAGGAGUUAUGUUUCUAGGGCUGCCGGAGCCCGGUCUUGUUGGCGCCCGCGACCCGCCGAAGCCUGGGCGACUACUGGAUGAGCCCGCAGGGCAGCCGCCCCCCGGGCACCUCCUGGCGCUGGCCCGCGCACAACCUGCUACUGCUGCCGGGGGCCACUGGGGUGGCGGACGGGGCCCAGGUGCACUGGCCCAGCUGCUACGGAGCGGGCCCGCGCCUCCUGAAUUUGGGGAGACAGCUUCAGGUUCAUCACAUGAUGGUCCCGAGGCUAACUUGUGCCAAGCCAGGAUGAGCAGGAAGAUGGCCCGGGAGCACUGCAGAGUCCUCUGUCCCCUUUCUGUGGGUGAAGGUUGUCCCUUUGCCCUCUCCUGUAU
ensembl:lncRNA